GAUGAAGAACGCAGCGAAAUGCGAUAAGUAAUGUGAAUUGCAGAAUUCAGUGAAUCAUCGAAUCUUUGAACGCACAUUGCGCCCGACAGUAUUCUGGCGGGCAUGCCUGUUCGAGCGUCAUUUCAACCCUCAGGGCCCUUUUGGACCUGGCGUUGGGGCUCGGCCGCUACCCUGCGGCCGUCCCCGAAAGAUAGUGGCGGUCUCGCUGUAGCCUCCUCUGCGUAGUAGUUACAUCUCGCACUGGAACGCGGCGCGGCCAUGCCGUUAAACACCCCACUUCUCAAGGUUGACCUCGGAUCAGGUAGGAAUACCCGCUGAACUUAAGCAUAUCAAUAAGCGGAGGA
rnacentral:misc_RNA from 1 species